rnacentral:tRNA from 1 species
UCCCUGGUGGUCCAGUGUCUAGGACUCCAUGCUCCCAGUGCAGGGGGCCUGGGUUCAAACCCUGGUCAGGGAA